rnacentral:tRNA from 1 species
ACUUAAAUAGUUUAAUAAAAACAUAAAUUUGUGGAAUUUAAGAUGAAGAUUUCUUUAAGUA